rnacentral:tRNA from 1 species
GCCUCGGUGACCAAGUGGUAAGGCGUCGGUCUCGUAAACCGAAUAUCCUGGGUUCAAAUCCCAGUCGGGGCU